GGGCGGGCGUGGGCUAAUACAAGACCUGAAAGGGAAAUAUGCCCGCCGGCUUCUGACGGCUUUGAGCGCCUGCCCACCCAUUU
rnacentral:ncRNA from 1 species